AGGCGCGUGAGAGAACACUGGCUAAGGAACUCGGCAAAUUGACACCGUAACUUCGGGAGAAGGUGUGCCUGGUGGAGUGAUGGGCUUCGCGCCCUGAGCUCUAUUGGGUCGCAGUGAAACGGGGGUUGCGACUGUUUACUAAAAACACAGGACUCUGCGAAGUCGCUAAGACGACGUAUAGGGUCUGACGCUGCCCGGUGCCUGAAGGUU
rnacentral:rRNA from 1 species